CUCCCUUCCCCCUCCCUCUUCGUCCUACCCCUUCCCCCAUCUCCCCCUCCUCUUUUUCCUCCUCUCCCUUCUCUUCUUCCUCCUCCUCCUCUUCCUCUUCUUCUUCCCCCUCCUCCUUUUCCUCCUCCUGGCCCAUCCUGGGCCAAGUGGUCCUGCCGCUGGUGUGCCGCCAGGAGCCUCCUUAGCUGCCUUCCCCGGUGCCCACACUGACCAUCUGUCAACUUCAUUUAGACAUUGCAGCCCUCAGCCACACGCCAGGGUGCCAGACGCCCAAAGGUUCUGCAGUUCACAGAUGAAGACGAUUUCCUCUCCCCUGAGUGUGCUGUUCUCUCUCUUGGCUCCAGGCUGUUGAACAUGUUGUUCCCUCCACCUGGAAAGCUUCUCUUUCACUCCCUGGCCCUUUACCUGAGCCUUAUUCAUGGUUUAAGUUUCAGUGGAAAUAGCACAGCUCUCAGGAAGCCUUCUCCAAGCCCCUGGGGCCCAGGAAUGAUGCUCCUCGUCUACAGCCACUUGGUCCCAAGACUUGCCUCUGGUCCAGCGCUCCCAUGGGCAUGGUCCUCGCCUAUGCACAAGGAGACCUGGAGGGCAGGGGCUGUGUUUUGCUUUUGUUUUGUUGUCAGUCCUGGGUGCCUGGCACAUAGGAAGGUGCUUACAAAGGUUUGGAAUUGAUCAAAAUCGGUCGGAGAACUUCAUUUUACCCUUGGAUUUCCUAUGCAUAUAAUUCAACGGGAACCUCCCUAUUUUAUUGAAAGCAUAUGACAGACCAAAACGCCACAGAUAUGAAAGAAAGGUAAGUAAUCCAUUAUUAAAAAUAGCUGUUACCUGAGCCUGGUGCUGUGCAAAUCCUAAAACAAGGUAGGUUUGUUCUCCUGAGACCGUGGAUUAAAAGGACUGCCUCAUUGAUUGUGGCUUAAAAAGAUUCUCUCAUCAAGCAGAGUAUGUGUGUCUCUCUCUCCCAGAAUUAAUUCUCGAUAUGACUCCAGCUGAUGGAAAUGCAGCAUCUUCAGGAGCCAGACCGCUUCGUUAUACUCUUAGGGUUCUGGCUUAGCAACUGCUCAUUCCCAUUCCUAGAUAAUAACAGCUAACUCUAAGUCGUGCUUACUAUGUGCCAGGCACUGUUCUAAGCACUGCGCAUAUAAUAACGCACUUAACCUUUACAAGAACUUUGUGAGGUAAUCACUAUUAUUAUCAUUAUUAUGCCCAUUUUAUGAGUAAGGAAGCAAGCACAGAGAGGUUAAGUAACCUGCCCAAGGUUACAACAGAUAAAACAUGGUAGAGCUGGGAUUCAAACCGGGGCAGUCUGGCUUCAGAGUCUAUGCUCUUAAUUACUAUGCUACAUUGCUUCUUAACCCUGAAAUCAACACUUGAACUUUAAAAAUCAGCUCUAGACGCAACAGCUGAUACUGGGUUGAGGAUCCCAUUGUAGGGGUCACUGUGAACAAGAGACCCUUCCCCCAGGUGACAGCAAAUGAUGAGGCUAAGGCCAGUGGCUCAACACCUGAGCCCCAAGCCUUGGGGAGUCCCCUGCCAAGCGCAGUGGUGUGCUAGAGUAGGCUUCUACUGCUUAGGACACAACCACCAAUUGUCGACUAGUCAGGAACGCUGCAUCCAGUGUUAGACUGUCGAUGGCUUGAAAUCAGCCACACUAGGAGUAUUUACACCACAGAAAUUGGCAAACACUACAAAUCAGAGACCAUAUCCCCAAACACUGUCCCUGCUGGAGGAUGCUGAUGGAGGAUUUCAAUCAUCUUGACUGAAAGAGCCUAGUGUGAGCCUGGAGAAUGUUUUUUACUUUCCCAGGGCCUGGCUGAGCUGGCCUGGAUUAGAUCUAUAAGAUGUUUUCAAUUGCUGGUAUCUGCAUGAAGGCUUUCUUUGAAGGCAUGGAAAGCCACUCUGCCUAAUGAAAGGCGGCCCAGAGUGUCAAGGAAUCAACAUCCCCCGGCUCCCACUAACCCCAGAACCUCUCCACCCAGGGCAGGGAACAAGGGUGUUCCUCUGGCCAUUAGUGCGGGUCUUCUCAAGGUAGGCCUUUUCUGUGGUCCCCGGAGCUUCCACACAGCCUUCAGCUACAGUCACUCAGAGCAGUAGUUGACGUGGUAACUCAGCCUUUAUGUGCUGUCCUCAAUUCACAGGCUCAACUUCCUGUCUUCCUCCUGGUAUUUCUUGCACCUCCCAACUAAACUUGUAGUCCAGUUCUUUUCGGAGAGUGCUUUCGGGAACGCCCCAACUAAGAGGGGCUGAAUGGGCAGUCCCCAGUGCUUGGUGUGCAAAGGUGGGGAGUCCUGGCCAAAGCGCUGGGCUGCCUCAGCCCUCUCCCAGUGCUAGUCCUGCUCCCUGACUCUUGCUCUGUAUUUUAGAGACUCUCUUCCAUGGCUUUGCUGGCCCUGCUGCCCAGUUUCGUGGUCUGGGCCCUGCUGCCCACCAUGCUCCUGGAGGUGAUGGUACACUGCUGACUGCCCAGCCUGCGGCUCAGGGGCAUGCCCAUUUCUCCAAGGAAGACCCUGUAGCAUCUAAAAGAGUUUCCCUGCAUGCAAGGAGGGACAUGAGCUCAUUAUCAUCAUUCUGACACUAGCUGCCAGGCGUUUCCCUCUAAGCCCAGAGUUGAGAUCGUCUGAGUCUCCUUCCAGGAGUGCAACAUGAACUUGGCAGAAGGAAUCCACAAGUUUGCGUGGGUGUGACAGAACAGACAUCACUAGCAGAACGUUUUGGGAAGCAGUCUGUCUAAACUGGACUUUUCCCGGGCCCGGCAGGGAGCAGAGAGCAUGAGCCGAUACGUUUGAUUGUGGCGAUCCCCUCUAUCCUUUAGAUUGCUUCCAACUCAGAGCUAAGGCCUGCGCUUGGCUGGAGGAGUGCUCAGCGCUAACAGCACGUUUUCAUUCUCCAGAACAGCCAAGAGGGGAAGUGCGGGAGGAAUUGAGGAGUCAGGGCUUCCGAGCCACUCUGACCCAAGAGCCCAGCUGGAGGGACAGGCAGGGGCGUGGCUCCCUCCCAGGCCACUGGAGCUCUACCCGCCCUGUCCUGUAUCACUCCCAUUUCUCCAGAGCCUGACUUCUAAAUGUAGAUUGUGUAUUUUGUUAAGUCCUGUGUUUGUUUUCUGACUUUGGUAAAAAGCUGUAGGUGGGAGCAAAAUGAUCUGUUGAAGAAAUUUAAAAGCAAAUUUAUUCAAGCGCACAAUAUGGAGUUAUUUCACAUCCUGGGACAAAGGAAAAGUGAGCACCAAGAGGGAAACUGACUGUGGCCUGUGGGCAGCAGAAGUUAACACCAUAUUCACUGUAAGAAUUGAACUCACUGCAGUUACCAGGAGUGUUUCAUUCCUACCUAACACCUCUGCUAGUGAAAUAUAGCAGACACAAGUUUAAGCCUGGCACGGGGAGCUUUUCUGAAGACCAUCAUGUGUGCUGUGUUUGUCUAUGGACAGAUGUGUGUUCUCCCUAGACCGGGUGCUGGGCGUCGACCCAGGUCACAGAGUUGGUGACAUCCCUGACGAGCUGCUUUGUGGUCUAAUCCGGCCUUCAGGAAGCAGGGUAAUAUACAUGGAAUCAGACAGAUGUAAUCUUCUGGGACUGGCUCCCUUCACUCAGCCCGAUGUUUUGGAGGGUCCCUGUGUGGCUGAGCUUGGUGACUUGUGCUUCGGUCUCACUGAGUGACCAUCCCUCUGCUGCUUGUUUGUCCCUCAGAGAAGGAGAGCUGCACUGACUGCCUGACCCCCCCAUUCAGACUUCACCCAGCUUCCCCGUCUCCCAUAUCCUCCUACUGGGCCCUGUGUAUGUCAUAGAGGAAGGUCUCUAAGAGGAGACUUGCUCACAAGGGAAAGGGGUGCGAGCAUGAACGCCUUCUUGGCUGCCCUGCACCAGGCCUGGGCCGACCUCGCAGGCUGGUGAGGAGAUUACCAACACAGGGACGUGACUCAUGUCGGCAAAGUAGGAUUUGAUUGGAAGGAUUUUCCCGGAAAGGAGAAGAGCUGGGGCAGCUCCAGGGGUCCCACAGGAGGAGCUAAUGGACUUCUUCAUUGGGCACCAGGGACAAAUCAGCUCAGCUGGUGUUUGGCCCUGAGUCCCACUGCUCCAGAGUGGGAGUCUUGGGGAAGAGAAGGCCUGGCCUGCCUCAGGUGGGAGAGGGUAACCCGCAGAGUGGUACCCUGCAGAGAGAGGCGGCUCCACCAGAGCGGUCAGGUGCUGGGACCAGGGGAAGGGGCAGACGCUGGGAUGGCAGGUCAAAGUUUGACUCCUCCAGAAAAAUACCAGCUCCCCCAAAUGAGGGUGGGUCUAUCUGCAGGGGUCAUGUAACCCUGAUCAUUCAUGCUUUUCCUGGGCCUGAGAGUGGAUCUGGAAUACACUGUAUUAAAUAAUAAUAUUUAUUACUAUUUGGGUUGGUAUUUUCAGGGCUUUUCUCUAGUUUCUAGAUUUGCCCUCCUUUAGUGUUCCCACAUUUAUUUUAUUUUUGUAUUUAAUGUUAGUAUUUUCAUGUUAUAUUUGUACACACACAUGCAUGAUUGUUUCCAUGCCUUGAGUCCCUUGGUGCUAGUUGCAUUUUUAGGUUAUAUCAACUCUGCUACCCUGAGAAUCACGCUUGGCAUCUUCAGACUUUGUUUUUAAACCAACAAAUGAAGGACUGAUCUGCUCCUCUCAUCCCAGGGUCAGAGCACUGGCCUGGGAGCCAUCACUGGAGCCAGGAAAGCAGCCCUCGAUGCCUUGCUUAGGAUGAAACUUCUGGAAAACAGCCCAAUCUCCCUCAGCCUUGGUUUCCUGUCUGUGAAAUAAGCAUGCUGGUGUUCUACACCUAAUUCCAAAAGCUGAGAUUUUGUGCAAAAUUUCAGUUGUUGAAAACACACUGGGGGAAAAUGUGAUUGGAUGUACAUGCUGUGAUCCUUUAGAAUAACAAGUUGUGUGUAUCACUGUACCCUGAUGGUCUCCAAUAUGUUUUGUUGUGUCUCUGAGUAUUGUAAUUAUGUUAAUAAUGCUAUAAUGAAACUUAUCCAUGAAAUACACACUUGAUCCCCAGUUGAUUGAGUCUAGGGGAAAGAAAGCGCAUCCA
ensembl:lncRNA